rnacentral:rRNA from 1 species
AUACAGAGGGUGCGAGCGUUAAUCGGAAUUACUGGGCGUAAAGCGCGCGUAGGCGGCUUAUUAAGUCAGAUGUGAAAUCCCCGGGCUCAACCUGGGAACUGCAUCUGAUACUGGUAAGCUAGAGUUUUGGAGAGGGAAGUAGUAUUUCAGGUGUAGCGGUGAAAUGCAUAGAGAUCUGAAGGAAUACCAGUGGCGAAGGCGACUUCCUGGCCAAAAACUGACGCUGAGGUGCGAAAGCGUGGGUAGCAAACGGGAUUAGAAACCCUAGUAGUCC